GUCCUGUGUAACCUAGUAACAGACUUCAGACCUGUUGGCUGACUGUACAAUCCCUCUAGCGCAAAUUGAGAGUUAGGCUUGAGAGCCACAAAUGUUUCUGUAAAGACAGGAGCAAUCACUAUGAGCAUAGCUGCAGUGGUAUAGGCAGAGGGGAUGAUAACUGAAAAGGAAUAGGCAGAGGGGACGAUCCCUGCCUGGGAGAAGAGUCUGGUCUGGUGGAAGAGUUCCGGAGGAACUCCAGGCUCCCUCCCCAGGAAGCGAUUUGGG